UUCGCAAUGCCCGAAAGGGUGAGGAAGCGACGCCGCGUGCGGGAAGAAGGCCUUCGGGUUGUAAACCGCUGUCGGGAGUUAAGAAAUGUAAGGAUGUUAAUAGCAUCUUUGCUUGACUAAGGCUCCGGAGGAAGCCACGGCUAACUCUGUGCCAGCAGCCGCGGUAAUACAGAGGCGGCAAGCGUUGUUCGGAAUUAUUGGGCGUAAAGAGCACGUAGGCGGCUAUGUAAGUCGGUUGUGAAAGCCUUCCGCUCAACGGGAGAACAACAUCCGAUACUGCAUGGCUUGAGUGCGGGAGGGGAGAGUGGAACUUCUGGUGGAGCGGUGAAAUGCGUAGAUAUCAGAAGGAACGCCGGCGGCGAAAGCGGCUCUCUGGCCCAUAACUGACGCUGAGUGUGCGAAAGCUAGGGGAGCAAACGGGAUUAGAUACCCCGGUAGUCCUAGCCGUAAACGAUGGGCACUAAGUAGAGGGGUUUU
rnacentral:rRNA from 1 species